rnacentral:misc_RNA from 1 species
AAGUCGUAACAAGGUUUCCGUAGGUGAACCUGCGGAAGGAUCAUUAACACGUUCCAAAACGUAUCAACCAAACGGUUAAGUGCAAACUUAUUCCCUCAUACAGGGAGCUGUUCAUCUGAAUCUAGUGAUGGGUAAGUCUUCGGGCUUACAGAAGCAGAUGAGCUAGGGUCUCGAGCCCAAAGUUCCUUAUGUGAGGCUUUCCUUUUUUUUUCCCAUCACUUCCAACUAACUAAUUUCACCCCUUUAAACCAUUUGACUAAAUCUUUCGAACGAAGAAAUUUGUUUGGAAUUGUAUAUCUAACACUGUACAACUCUUAGCAAUGGAUAUCUUGGUUCUC